AAGCAGAGGUCGCCGGAAGCAGAGGUCACCGGAAGAAGGGCCGAAGCGGAUCCAAGCCCUAAAGCCCCAAUUCAAGUCACCACCUCUCCUCCUUCCACGUUUUCCUGCCGUCGACUCUGCAAUCGACGCCGUCGGUCUUCCAUCCCCCACAAUCAACGCCGCCUCUGCAAAACCUCCAAAUCUAGAGGUUUAGGGUUUAUUUCCGCCGCCCCCGCCGCCGACUGAAAUAACAUCACCGCCGCAACACCACCACAGAUUUGCCAACUAAAAUGAAAAUCCCCAAAUCCUCAACCACA
rnacentral:lncRNA from 1 species